rnacentral:rRNA from 1 species
UAGCUCAGUAACACGUGGAGAACGUGCCCUUUAAGUGGGGGAUAAUCUCGGGAAAUUGAGGAUAAUACCCCAUAGGUCAUGGGAUCUGGAAUGACCCAUGGCUGAAAGUUCCGGCGCUUAAGGAUCGCUCUGCGGCCUAUCAGGUAGUAGUGGGUGUAACGUACCCCCUAGCCUACGACGGGUAUGGGCCUUGAGAGAGGGAGCCCAGAGUUGGAUUCUGAGACACGAACCCAGGCCCUACGGGGCGCAGCAGUCGCGAAAACUUCACACUGGGGGGAACCCCGAUGAGGGAAUUCCUAGUGCUUGGGCAUUUGUCCAAGCUUUUCCCGAGCGUAGAUAACUCGGGGAAUAAGGGCUGGGUAAGACGGGUGCCAGCCGCCGCGGUAAUACCCGCAGCCCAAGUGGUGGUCGAUUUUAUUGAGUCUAAAACGUUCGUAGCCGGUUUGGUAAAUCCUUGGGUAAAUCGAGAGGCUUACUUCUCGAUUCCGAGGAGACUGCCAACUUGGGACGGGAGAGCGAGAGGUACUUCUGGGGUAGGGUAAAUCCUGUAAUCCUGAAGAACCACGGUG